GCUAAGAAUAUUCCGCAAUGGGCGAAAGUCUGACGGAGCGACGCCGCGUGGAUGAAGAAGGCCGAAAGGUUGUAAAGUUCUUUUGUUGGGGAAGAAUAACCAUGGGAGGGAAUGCCCGUGGGAUGACAUGAACCGACGAAUAAGCCCCGGCUAACUACGUGCCAGCAGCCGCGGUAACACGUAGGGGGCGAGCGUUGUUCGGAAUUACUGGGCGUAAAGGGCAUGUAGGCGGUCUUGUAAGCUUGGCGUGAAAGACCACGGCUCAACCGUGGGAUUGCGUUGAGAACUGCGAGGCUUGAGUGACGGAGAGGGAGCUAGAAUUCCUGGUGUAGGGGUGGAAUCUGUAGAGAUCAGGAAGAAUACCAAUGGCGAAGGCAAGCUCCUGGCCGAUGACUGACGCUGAGGUGCGAAAGUGUGGGGAUCAAACAGGAUUAGAUACCCGAGUAGUCC
rnacentral:rRNA from 1 species